UAUAUCUCAUCAGAGUGACUAUCAUUAUUAUAUAUAGGGAUAGUAUAUAUACCAGGUCUUCUAUCAGGGGGUAUAGGGUCUUUAUCAUUGCGAAGUGUUUGAAAGACAGUGGGGCCCCGUUUAUUAAGUAUCUUAGAGUUAGUAUGUCUUAGGGCUUUGGUAAUAGUACGGUGCACACAUGUAUCAUACUGUAACGUAAGAAAUAUAGGCCGGUCAAUCGAAUUAGGGGCGGGGUUCGGAGUUCGAACAUGGGAGAAGCAGUUAAGGGUUUUAGUCCAUAUGCGGCUCAUGUAUUUGAAAUUGUAUCCAUGCUUAUAACCAAUAUUGAAGACAAAGUUGCGCUCAUAUUCUUUAUCAGACCACUUAGUAGUAUGCGUAAGGAUCCUAGAAAAGAGGGCCCUGAACGCCGCAGCUUUAUAUGCGGGCGGGUCUCUGGACCAUGCUGGAAUAACAACCGGGCUAUAAGUCGGUUUCUUAUAUAUACUAUAGUCUAUUCGCUAUAACCUUUUCCAUGCAUCCGCGCGAAAUAGUUC
rnacentral:lncRNA from 1 species